UCCAGACUCCUACGGGAGGCAGCAGUGGGGGAUAUUGCACAAUGGGGGGAACCCUGAUGCAGCGACGCCGCGUGGGUGAAGGAGCGUUUCGGCGCGUAAAGCCCUCUCGGCAGGGAAGAAGGAGGACGGUACCUGACUAAGAAGCCCCGGCUAACUACGUGCCAGCAGCCGCGGUAAUACGUAGGGGGCAAGCGUUAUCCGGAUUUACUGGGUGUAAAGGGGGCGCAGACGGCAGCGCAAGCCAGGAGUGAAAGCCCGGGGCCCAACCCCGGGACUGCUCUUGGAACUGCGCGGCUGGAGUGCAGGAGGGGCAGGCGGAAUUCCUGGUGUAGCGGUGAAAUGCGUAGAUAUCAGGAGGAACACCGGUGGCGAAGGCGGCCUGCUGGACUGCGACUGACGUUGAGGCCCGAAAGCGUGGGGAGCAAACAGGAUUAGAUACCCGCGUACG
rnacentral:rRNA from 1 species